rnacentral:rRNA from 1 species
CCGCAUCUGUGCAUGCAGCAUAUCAAUAAGCGGAGGAAAAGAAACUAACAAGGAUUCCCCUAGUAACGGCGAGUGAAGCGGGAAGAGCUCAAAUUUGAAAUCUUAAAGGGUUUCCCUUUACGAAUUGUAGUUUAAAGAAGUGUUUUCUGUUGAGGUUUUGGUAAAAGUUCUUUGGAAUAGGACAUCAUAGAGGGUGAGAAUCCCGUAUUUGACCUUUACUUUCAACUUUGUGAUACACUUUCAAAGAGUCGGAUUGUUUGGGAAUGCAGUCCAAAAUGGGUGGUAAAUUUCAUCUAAAGCUAAAUAUUGGCGAGAGACCGAUAGCGAACAAGUACCGUGAGGGAAAGAUGAAAAGAACUUUGAAAAGAGAGUUAAACAGUACGUGAAAUUGUCAAAAGGGAAGCGUUUGACACCAGUGUUGUUUUUCUGAAAAUCAAUUAAGGAACUGUUUAUGCUAAGCUGUUUAGACUUUAUCAGCUAUCUGUUUAGUUUUGAGCUUUUCUUUAAUGCACUUUUCAGUUAACAAGUCAACAUCAAUUUCUUUUGCUGUAAAAAAGCUUGAGGAAGGUGGCUUGAGAUUCGUCUUAAGUGUUUAUAGCCUCUUGCCUAUGCAGUCGGAGAGAUUGAGGUCUGCAGCGUAGAUCCUUCGGGGCUAAAUGCAUUUGUGCUAAGUUAUAGCAUUUUAUAGACGACUUGUUGACUAUGAUUUGUCUUGUAGCUUACUCGCUUAUGUUAUUUUACCUACGCUUAGGAUGUUGAAUCUGUGCGAGACUAC